rnacentral:lncRNA from 1 species
UCCUGACGCGCCGCGCUCCCCGCUGAGCCAAUGGCGGCACUGUCCGCGCUCGGCCACCUGACCCCGGGCGCCGUUGUUAUUAGGCGCGGCGAGGCGGGCGGCGCGCGGCAGCAGGGUUGGGCUCUGGCCGGGAGUCGACUGAGGGAGCGAGGACUGGGGGCGCGCGCGCGCGCCCGUGCCCGGACUGUCCGCCGCGGCCGCUCGCUUUUUCGCCUCCCUCCUCAUGCCAGCGUCUUAUUCAGCCCCCUCAGCCCUUCCACCCGCCUCCAAUCGCCAGCCCGCAGCUCCCAUAUUUGA